GUYUUUUUGAAAAUAAUUUAAAGUYUGACCUGCUCGAUGAAAUUUUUAAUGGCCGCAGUAUUUUGACUGUGCAAAGGUAGCAUAAUCAAUAGUUUUUUAAUUAAAAGCUUGUAUGAAAGGUUUGAUGAAAAAAUAACUGUCUCUAUUUAAUUUAUUUUGAAUUUUAUUUUUAAGUUAAAAAGCUUAAAUUUUUUUAGAAGACGAGAAGACCCUAUAGAAUUUUAUAUUUAAAUAUAAAAAGUUAUUUUAGUAUUUUAAAAUUUUUUAUAUUAAAGUAUUUGAUUGGGGUGAUUAAAAAAUUAAAGAAACUUUUUUUAAUUAAAUCAUUAAUUAAUGAAUAUAUGAUCUUUUAGUUAAAAUUAAAAGAUUAAAUUACCUUAGGGAUAACAGCAUAAUUUUUUUAAAAGUUCUUAUUGAAAAAAAARAUUGUGACCUCGAUGUUGGAUUAAAAAAAAUUAUUGGUGUARAASCUAAUAAAUUUGGUCUGUUCGACCAUUAAAAUUUUACAUGAUCUGAGUUUAAACCGGUGUGASCCAGGUCGGU
rnacentral:rRNA from 1 species